GCAUAUCAAUAAGCGGAGGAAAAGAAACUAACAAGGAUUCCCCUAGUAACUGCGAGUGAAGCGGGAAAAGCUCAAAUUUAAAAUCUGGCGGUCCUUGUGGCCGUCCGAGUUGUAAUCUGGAGAAGUGCUUUCCGCGCUGGACMGUGUACAAGUCUCUUGGAACAGAGCGUCGUAGAGGGUGAGAAUCCCGUCUUUGACACGGACUACCAGUGCUUUGUGAUGCGCUCUCAAAGAGUCGAGUUGUUUGGGAAUGCAGCUCAAAAUGGGUGGUAAAUUCCAUCUAAAGCUAAAUAUUGGCGAGAGACCGAUAGCGAACAAGUACCGUGAGGGAAAGAUGAAAAGAACUUUGGAAAGAGAGUUAAACAGUACGUGAAAUUGCUGAAAGGGAAACGCUUGAAGUCAGUCGCGUUGGCCGGGACUCAGCCUUGCUUCCGCUUGGUUUAUUUUCUGGUCGACGGGUCAGCAUCAGUUUUGAUCGUCGGACAAUGGCUGGGGGAAUGUGGCAUCUUCGGAUGUGUUAUAGCCCUUGGUCGCAUACGAUGGUUGGGACUGAGGAUCUCAGCACACCUUUAUGGUCGGGGUUCGCCCACGUUUGUGCUUAGGAUGCUGGCAUAAUGGCUUUAAACGACCCGUCUUGAAACACGGACCAAGGAGUCUAACAUGCAUGCGAGUGUUUGGGUGGAAAACCCGAGCGCGUAAUGAAAGUGAAAGUUGAGACCUCUGUCGUGGAGGGCAUCGACGCCCGGACCAGACCUUCUGUGACGGCCCUGCGGUAGAGCAUGUAUGUUGGGACCCGCAAGAUGGUGAACUAUGCCUGAAUAGGGUGAAGCCAGAGGAAACUCUGGUGGAGGCUCGUAGCGAUUCUGACGUGCAAAUCGAUCGUCAAAUUUGGGUAUAGGGGCGAAAGACUAAUCGAACCAUCUAGUAGCUGGUCUGCGAGU
rnacentral:rRNA from 1 species